GAUUGAGGAACGUCAAGAGAAACUGUGGAGAAAACAUCCAAGAGCUUCACCUCCCCGACAUUAUCAGCAUCAUUUUAAACAAAACACUAAAUGCUUUACACUUGUUUAGAUGACACUGAUUUCAUUUUCUAGGUUUAAAGUCAGUAGUGAAUGAGUGGAUCUGCAGGAGCUGACAGUACAGCGGGACGACCGAUUCCACAUCGCCCAGCACUGAACUGUCACCCACCUCGCUGCUCUCGCCCGUGUUUACAUCAUUAAGGUUCUGAUGAAGUGUGAAGUUAAAGACGAUUUUAUAAAGACAUACAGAGAGACUACAUGAAAUAUAUCACAUUACAAGAUGAAUUAAAAUGAGCCGCUGAUUAAAAACUAGAUUGCCCAAAUAUCUGGAUUAGUCUUUUAGGAAUAUUUAGGCGUGGACUUCACGGCCCUCUGAUGAAAGACCUGUUGCAGCUGAUCAGUCCAGGGAAUGCUCGGAGUCUCCUCAUCACUGCAGAAGAGAGAGGGAUAAAGAGAGAGAGAGAGAGCGUGCGAGCCCUGCGUUCAGCCAGCAGGACCUCCAAACACUCGGCUUCACUGAUCCUGAAAUAAAGAGGUUGAUGGAGGGAGGACGAAUGAGAAGCAGUAAUGCGCAGACACGCUGGAUUGAGACUGAGGAGACGAUCUGACAGUGCUGCUGUUGGGUGUCGCCUGUCUGCGCUUCCUGAACAUUCAGCUGUUCUAUAGCACCCCUCUCUCUCUCUCUCUCUCUCUCUCUCUCUCUCUCUCUCUCUCUCUCGCUCACUGUCUGACUCUGUUAUUCUUUCUGAAAUCUUUCCAUGUGUUGUGACUGAUCUGAUGUCAGUGAUAUUUCUCUUUGAUAAGCUCCAGUAGUUCAGCGUGUGCUUAAAUCAUCAUUACAUGUGUUCAAAACUUCAGCUACAAAAUCACUAAGUCAUCAUCAUACAGUGGUGGUAAUUUAAGUGAUGCUUAUCUGAAGAAAUCUGUCCAGCAUCAUACUACAGUACAGCAACAAGCUGGCAUCACUGUUACAGUGUAAUUAUACAUUUAAGUACUAAGUAAUAAUAAUUAACAACAUGUACUUACUAUAGGGUUGGGGUUAGGAUUAGGGUUUGGUUUAGGGUAAGUUGCAUGUAACUAUGCAUUAUUAACUGUUAUUACUAUAAUAAUUACA